UACGAAGGGAGCUAGCGUUGUUCGGAAUCACUGGGCGUAAAGCGCACGUAGGCGGAUUUGCCAGUCAGGGGUGAAAUCCCGGGGCUCAACCUCGGAACUGCCUUUGAUACAGCAAGUCUUGAGUUCGAGAGAGGUGGGUGGAAUUCCUAGUGUAGAGGUGAAAAUUCGUAGAUAUUAGGAAGAACACCGAUGGCGAAGGCAGCCAUCUGGACCGACACUGACGCUGAGGCGCGAAAGCGUGGGGAGCAAACAGGG
rnacentral:rRNA from 1 species